AACAUCUUCACCAUACAAGAUACAGAGGAGCCAAACAACCACUGCAAACAUUCCUCAGACAGGCUACUUACCAAGGAACUCCAUGGAACAGAGAGAGCAGGUUUAGAUAGAGUCAGAGUCUCAUGACUGCUCCACAUGCUCAAUCUGAACCCUGCACAUUCAUCCCCAGACUGGAUCCUAUAUUGGAAGGAUUCCAACAUUCCAUACAAGUAUCCAACGUUCUGAGGAAUCCCACAACAUUCUGAGUUCCUUCUGCUGUUAAUUCAUCCAUGACAUCUAUAAAAAGGGGGCUGGACUCGUUGUUUUUGCUGGGAGGAGAGGUUCGGGUCCAGAAAACGACAACACAGCCUGCCAGCGAAUGACACACCGGCCGUGACGUCACGCAGAACAGCAACUGCCCCCCGAACCUUCCCCAUAAAUAGUGUCAUUUAGAUUUUGCUACAUUCUCCAAAAUUGUUAUACUACUGAUGUUAUGUUUCAUAGCAUUGAAAUACAACUUUAUUUCUGUGUAUCAAAUAAUUUUCUGAAGGAUAUGCCCGUUCUCUGUGCGUUUCUUUUCAUAUAAUUUGCACUACUGCUAGUCAUUUUGCACUACUGCCAGUCAUGUAGCCAUCCAGUCUCUAAUGAAUACAUUUCAAUAAACAUUGGCUGAAUGAGACUGUUACCCAUUCAAA